rnacentral:rRNA from 1 species
UACGUAGGCAGCGAGCGUUGUUCGGAAUUACUGGGCGUAAAGAGUGUGUAGGCGGUGCUCCCAGUCUGUUGUGAAAUCUCCCGGCUUAACUGGGAGGGUGCAGCGGAAACUAGAGUGCUAGAGGGUGGGAGAGGUAAGCGGAGUUCCUGGUGUAGCGGUGAAAUGCGCAGAUAUCAGGAGGAACACCGAUGGCGAAGGCAGCUCGCUGGGACGGUACUGACGCUGAGGCGCGAAAGCGUGGGGAGCAAACAGG